UACAGAGGGUGCGAGCGUUAAUCGGAUUUACUGGGCGUAAAGCGUGUGUAGGUGGUUAUUCAAGUCGGUUGUGAAAUCCCUGGGCUCAACCUGGGAACUGCUUCCGAGACUGGACGACUAGAGUACGGUAGAGGGUGGUGGAAUUUCCGGUGUAGCGGUGAAAUGCGUAGAUAUCGGAAGGAACAUCAAUGGCGAAGGCAGCCACCUGGGCCUGUACUGACACUGAGACACGAAAGCGUGGGGAUCAAACAGG
rnacentral:rRNA from 1 species